rnacentral:rRNA from 1 species
GGAAUAUUGGGCAAUGGAGGCAACUCUGACCCAGCAACGCCGCGUGAAUGAUGAAGGUCUUCGGAUUGUAAAGUUCUUUUCUAAGGGAAGAAGAAAGUGACGGUACUCUGUGAGGAAGCCACGGCUAACUACGUGCCAGCAGCCGCGGUAAUACGUAGGUGGCGAGCGUUAUCCGGAAUCAUUGGGCGUAAAGAGGGAGCAGGCGGCCUGGAGGGUCUAUUGUUAAAAGGCAGUGGCUUAACCAUUGCAAGGCGAAGAAACCGGCAGGCUAGAGUUCUAAAGAGGAUCGUGGAAUUCCAUGUGUAGCGGUGAAAUGCGUAGAUAUAUGGAGGAACACCAGUGGCGAAGGCGACGAUCUGGGAAGAAACAGACGCUGAGUCCCGAAAGCGUGGGGAGCAAAUAG